GAUGAACGCUAGCGGCAGGCCUAAUACAUGCAAGUCGAACGAUAUUAAGGGGCUUGCUCCUUAAGAAAGUGGCGCACGGGUGCGUAACGCGUAUGCAACCUACCUUAAUCAGGGGGAUAGCCCGAAGAAAUUCGGAUUAACACCGCAUAAAAACACAGGAUAGCAUUAUCCAAUGUUCAAAUAUUUAUAGGAUUAAGAUGGGCAUGCGUGUCAUUAGCUAGUUGGCGGGGUAACGGCCCACCAAGGCGACGAUGACUAGGGGAUCUGAGAGGAUGACCCCCCACACUGGUACUGAGACACGGACCAGACUCCUACGGGAGGCAGCAGUAAGGAAUAUUGGUCAAUGGAGGCAACUCUGAACCAGCCAUGCCGCGUGCAGGAAGACUGCCCUAUGGGUUGUAAACUGCUUUUAUCCGGGAAUAAACCUUUCUACGUGUAGGAAGCUGAAUGUACCGGAAGAAUAAGGAUCGGCUAACUCCGUGCCAGCAGCCGCCGUAAGAC
rnacentral:rRNA from 1 species